GUUGGGAAUCUUGGACAAUGGGGGAAACCCUGAUCCAGCCAUGCCGCGUGAGUGAUGAAGGCCUUCGGGUUGUAAAACUCUUUCGACGGGGACGAUAAUGACGGUACCCGUAGAAGAAGCUCCGGCUAACUUCGUGCCAGCAGCCGCGGUAAUACGAAGGGGGCUAGCGUUGUUCGGAAUUACUGGGCGUAAAGCGCGCGCAGGCGGCUAUCCAAGUCAGUGGUGAAAGCCCGGAGCUCAACUCCGGAACUGCCAUUGAAACUGUUUAGCUUGAGGACGAGAGAGGUGAGUGGAAUUCCCAGUGUAGAGGUGAAAUUCGUAGAUAUUCGGAGGAACACCAGUGGCGAAGGCGGCUCACUGGCUCGAUACUGACGCUGAGGUGCGAAAGCGUGGGGAGCAAACAGGAUUAGAAACCCGGGUAGUCC
rnacentral:rRNA from 1 species